rnacentral:rRNA from 1 species
CCUACGGGUGGCUGCAGUGGGGAAUAUUGGACAAUGGGCGAAAGCCUGAUCCAGCCAUGCCGCGUGUGUGAAGAAGGCCUUCGGGUUGUAAAGCACUUUCAGUGGGGAAGAAAGCCUUGGGGCUAAUACCCUCGAGGAAGGACAUCACCCACAGAAGAAGCACCGGCUAACUCCGUGCCAGCAGCCGCGGUAAUACGGAGGGUGCGAGCGUUAAUCGGAAUUACUGGGCGUAAAGCGCGCGUAGGCGGUCUGAUAAGCCGGUUGUGAAAGCCCCGGGCUCAACCUGGGAACGGCAUCCGGAACUGUCAGGCUAGAGUGCAGGAGAGGAAGGUAGAAUUCCCGGUGUAGCGGUGAAAUGCGUAGAGAUCGGGAGGAAUACCAGUGGCGAAGGCGGCCUUCUGGACUGACACUGACGCUGAGGUGCGAAAGCGUGGGUAGCAAACAGGAUUAGAUACCCGAGUCGU